AUACUACGAUGAGUGUAUAGUUCAGCAGGUGGAAUCAUGAAGAGAUUUACCAUUUGCCUGAUGUAUCU
rnacentral:snoRNA from 1 species